rnacentral:rRNA from 1 species
UCCAUCCACUCGCAAGAGUGGUGAAGACCUAGUGGCGAACGGGUGAGUAACACGUGAGAAACCUGCCCCGAAGACCGGGAUAACUCACCGAAAGGUGAGCUAAUACCGGAUGCCUUCACGACGUCUCAUAGCGAUGUGAAGAAAUGGAUUCCGCUUCGGGAGGGUCUCGCGGCCUAUCAGCUUGUUGGUGAGGUAACGGCUCACCAAGGCGACGACGGGUAGCUGUUCUGAGAGGAAGAUCAGCCACACUGGGACUGAGACACGGCCCAGACUCCUACGGGAGGCAGCAGUGGGGAAUCUUGCGCAAUGGGCGAAAGCCUGACGCAGCGAUGCCGCGUGCGGGAAGACGGCCUUCGGGUUGUAAACCGCUUUCAGCAGGGACGAAAUUGACGGUACCUGCAGAAGAAGCUCCGGCCAACUACGUGCCAGCAGCCGCGGUAAGACGUAGGGGGCGAGCGUUGUCCGGAAUUAUUGGGCGUAAAGGGCUCCUAGGCGGUUCAGUAAGUCGACUGUGAAAAUCUAAGGCUCAACCUUGGGACGCCAGUCGAUACUGCUGUGACUCGAGUUCGGUAGAGGAGUGUGGAAUUCCUGGUGUAGCGGUGAAAUGCGCAGAUAUCAGGAGGACACCAACGGCGAAGGCAGCACUCUGGGCCGAUACUGACGCUGAAGAGCGAAAGCGUGGGGAG